GCUGGAACUUUCUCACAAACACAUCCAUGGAGAUCUUCACCAUGUCCUUUCUACAGGAGCACUGUCAGCAGGAACCAGAAGAGCACCAGAAAGAAAUCAAGCAGACUUACCAGCACAGCUUGCUUGCCGUACUCAAUCCACCGACGGGUAGCAAAAUUGGUAGACUCCGCACAGUUAAAACCAUGGUUAAAGCCGGCAUGGUAACCAUAAGGGAAAGUGAUCAUAAACUCUCCAGCCUCUUGAGUCACCUGAACAAGAGCAGACUUGAAGCAGCUGCUUCAAAUGGCAGAAGUCCACAGAACUGGAAUUCUGAGCUCCACCACAACUUAGCUGAGUAACAAAGGAUUAUUCCACAGUAACAACAAAUCCUCCCACUGCAAACAGCUUCAUUAUAAAACAAAACAGAGAAGAAGAGUUGACAAAAAUGUCACCUAAAGGACUCUGGGAUCCAUCAGGCAACCCUAUACAGAAGGCUCUGGAGGUCCCACUUCAGAGGACCUAAGAAUGUAUAUAAUAACUGGAAAACCUUCUUUUAUAAGAGAAUUCAAAAAUCCAGGAGCAGUGAAUUUUGGAGUAAACAAUGGUGAAGACACAAAAGCUACAUUUACACAUCCUACAAGUCUAGCCUUCUGAGGAAGGAAAAACAGGACAGUAGUUAGGAGAUAAUCAUAGGCUCAAAAGGUUCUUUCCCCCAAGAUUAGAAACUGGAGAGCACUUGAAAGAAGAAAGGAAAACCCCUGAGAAAGAACAUGGCUGAAGAUGCUGAAAAAAGACCUGAAAGUGGAUAUGGUUUUCAUGACUCCCCAUAAUGUGCCCCAUGAUGUCCCCUCCGGCCUCAUCACUCACUUCUCAUCGUUUUACACAGCACCCAAACUACAGCAGACUCCCCCUAGCUCCCUAAACACACCACGCCUGGCUAAUUUUGUGUUUUUAGUAGAGACGGGUUUCACCAUGUUGGCCAGGCUGGUCUCCAACUCCUGACUUCAGGUGAUCCACCCACCUCGGCUUCCCAAAGUGCUGGGAUUACAGGUGUGAGCCACCACGCCUGGCCCUCAUGUGCUGUCUUAAUCCAGGAGCUCUGCGUCUGUGGUUCCAACUGCCUGGAUACACUUCCCUCAAUCUCCCAGCUGCUAAGCCCACCACCACUCCACCCGGUUAUGUCCUUCUCAUGUUUUAGGUCUCACUUGUCACCUCUUUGAAAGAAGCCUUCUUUAAUCCCAUCUAUCCUUCUUAUGUGGACCUUAGCACCCACUUCUUCCCCUUCAGAGCUGUCCCCACACCGUAUGAGCAUUCUCUCACACUUUCUACCUCCUGACCAGUCUCCUAUCUGUGUGAGGGUAGGUAUCUCAUCCAUCUUAUUCACUGCUGUUAUCUGCAGCACCUUCACUAAAAUGCUGAGAUGGGCCGGGUACAGUGGCUCAUGCCUGUAAUCCUAGCACUUUGCAAGGCUGAAGUAGGAGGACUGCUUGAGCCCAGGAGUUUGAGACCAGCCUGUGCAACAUAGUGAGACCCCAUCUCUACCCUAAAAAAAAAGAAGGAAAAAAAUUAGCUGGGCAUAGUGGUGCACGCCUGUAAACCCAGCUACCUGGGAGGCUGAAGUAGAAGGAUCACUUGAGCCCAGGAGGUCAAGGCUGCAGUGAGCCAUAAUGGUGCCACUGCACUCCAGCCUGGGUGACAGAGUGAGACCCUGUCUCAAAAUAGAAAAA